UCUCGUUUUAGAUUGACGGUGCUUGCACCAGAUUGAUAAAACAUUUGAAUGAGUGGCGGACGGGUGAGUAACACGUGGGUAACCUGCCCAAAAGUGGGGGAUAACAUUUGGAAACAAAUGCUAAUACCGCAUAAUAGUCAGAACCGCAUGGUUCUGAUUUGAAAGAUGGUUUCGGCUAUCACUUUUGGAUGGACCCGCGGCGUAUUAGUUAGUUGGUGAGGUAAAGGCUCACCAAGACGAUGAUACGUAGCCGAACUGAGAGGUUGAUCGGCCACAAUGGGACUGAGACACGGCCCAUACUCCUACGGGAGGCAGCAGUAGGGAAUCUUCCACAAUGGGCGAAAGCCUGAUGGAGCAACACCGCGUGAGUGAAGAAGGGUUUCGGCUCGUAAAACUCUGUUGUUGGAGAAGAACGUAUGUGAUAGUAACUGAUCAUGUAGUGACGGUAUCCAACCAGAAAGCCACGGCUAACUACGUGCCAGCAGCCGCGGUAAUACGUAGGUGGCAAGCGUUAUCCGGAUUUAUUGGGCGUAAAGCGAGCGCAGGCGGGUUUUUUAAGUCUGAUGUGAAAGCCCUUGGCUCAACCGAGGAAGUGCAUCGGCAAACUGGAAAACUUGAGUGCAGAAGAGGACAGUGGAACUCCAUGUGUAGCGGUGAAAUUGCCGUAGAAUUUUAUGGAAGAACACCAGUGGCGAACGGGCUC
rnacentral:rRNA from 1 species